UACGUAGGUGACAAGCGUUGUCCGGAUUUACUGGGCGUAAAGAGCGCGCAGGCGGUCGUUCAAGUCGAGUGUGAAAGCCCCCCGGCUCAACUGGGGAGGGUCAUUCGAUACUGAUCGACUCGAAGGCAGGAGAGGGAAGUGGAAUUCCCGGUGUAGUGGUGAAAUGCGUAGAUAUCGGGAGGAACACCAGUGGCGAAGGCGACUUCCUGGCCUGUUCUUGACGCUGAGGCGCGAAAGCUAGGGGAGCAAACGGGG
rnacentral:rRNA from 1 species